AAUGAACGUUGGCGGCGUGGAUUAGGCAUGCAAGUCGAGCGAGAACCCCGCAAGGGGGGACAGCGGCGAAAGGGACAGUAAUGUGUAGAUUAUCUGCCCUCAGAUCCGGGAUAGCUGCGGGAAACUGCAGGUAAUACCGGAUAACAUCUCCGGAUCAAAGGUGUGAUUCCGCCUGAGGAUGAGUCUGCAUCCUAUUAGCUAGUUGGUGGGGUAAUGGCCUACCAAGGCAUUGAUGGGUAGCAGGUGUGAGAGCACGACCUGCGUCAUUGGGACUGAGACACUGCCCAGACACCUACGGGUGGCUGCAGUCGAGAAUCUUCGGCAAUGGGCGCAAGCCUGACCGAGCGACGCCGCGUGUGGGAUGAAGGCCUUCGGGUUGUAAACCACUGUCAGAGGGGAUGAAAUGCGGGUGGGUUCUCCCAUCUGUUUGACAUAGCCUCAGAGGAAGGACGGGCUAAGUUCGUG
rnacentral:rRNA from 1 species